UUCCUGGAGAUUGCUUUAUAAUCUCUCAAGUUAGAGAGUUGGUGCGUACAGCGCCACCAACACACUGAAUAGUGUCUUCCUUCAGACAGGGAUCAGGACCGGAAGUACCGUCACCUUUCAGUUCUGAUUGCUGGGAACUUGUACUCCAGGCGCUCCAAGUGUAAGCAGGUGGCAGUAGACCUGAAUCACAGCUUGUGGCAGAUGUUCUCAGUAGUUCUGUUGAAAUUUCCCGAUCUCUAUCUGCACGAGGGGGCUCAGAGCUUCACCUGGGUGGUACCUGUCAUCCUUGAUGUAAGCUGUUGUUCACCAGGGAGCUUUGGCAAGAGAAUUGGCUGGAUCAACAAGUCUAUCUUCACCACAGAAAAACAAUUUGAAGCUCAUCUUUAUUGAUGGUGUUUUGCAAUUCCACAGAAAUUUUGGUAUCGACUUGUCAAAUUCUGCCAAAAGUCUGCCGAGAUUUUGGUAGAAUCAAUGAACCAAUCAGGGAAAGUACGCUUCAUACAGUAUCAGCCUACUCCUCCAUGAACUUGGUGUCUGUUUUUCUUUUGAAGAUUUUUGCCCGUGAUGUUUUUGCCAUUAUGCGCUGCAAGCACGUACACAGGAAGAAAAGCUUAGGGUUAGGGUUUCUUUUUUUUUUUGGUACCGGGGAUCGAACUCGGGUCUUUGCGCUUGCCCAGCAGGCGAGGGUUAUGGUUUCUAUUGAGGGAGACCGAAAAAGCAUGGCUUGACAUGCUGUUCUUGGGAGGAAAAAGGUAAUGAGAACUCAUGAAAUCCUACGGAGGUUCAGAAGAAGUGAGGGAGCCUCAGGUAUUUUUGGUAGCCGUUUUCAUCACCUGGGAAGAGCAAGGCUCAGAGGACAACACGAAAACCAUGACUGGCAUCCAUCGCCCUCACCUCCCGUACUCCCUGGCUCAGCAUGGUGAGCGACAAGAGGGCUUGCCAGAAAAUCUCGUCAUGGGCAAAUCUACAAACGUCUCCUUGGGAUUCUGUGAUGCUGGCCUGCCUGGAUAUCUAACAACAAUAUUUGAAGAUCAGUUGGAUAUGUAGUCCUGGAGAGGGUCUGCUGUUGUAGCUCCUAAGUUCCAAGGGAAGUUGCCCACUGGGAGAAGACCAUUGACUGUAGAAAUUAAUUAUCAAGCACUACUCUUGAUUUUGUGAAACAAUGUUUAGGCAGCAUUUAGAUUGUCAAAACAGAAGAGAACUGACCUGCAUGAGAUAAUAUCCUAAAUAGUAAAAUGUAGAGACACGAGGAUGUAUCCAUGUACUUGCAUGCACCACUGUGUGUACAGAUACUGUCAUCCUGGAUCAUUGUGUGGUAUGUAGAUAGAAUCAAGUCAUAGAAAUAUGGCAUUCUCUUGGUAUGCCUAUUGUCCUUUCAAAUGGAACAAAGAGAGAUGAUAGAAUAUAUUUCAAAAUGAAUAGGGUGGAAACACAAAACAACUCCAUCAAUAUUUUACUGUAUUCUUUCUUAUUCAUUCCUGGGUCUGUGCCAAACAUUUUGCGGCUCAUGCACCUACCAUCUUUCAUGAAUAUGUUACUGAUAAGGAUACAUUUCUAACCUCUGAUAAAGAUAUCUGAGCUGAUUUGCAGUGUAUAAGAAGGGGUAAAAGUGCUCAGAAAACAUUUAGAAUGGUCCUUUUUCAGGGGGGUAAAUGAAAUGUCUUUCCCCACAUCCCUUCCUCCCUGGACAUUUCCUUUCAGCUAGAACUCUUAUGUCUUGCUGCAGAUUGCAAAGGGUGGCUAGAGUUGAAAUUGAUGAAGUAUGCUAAAAGGUAAGGGGUGUGUUGUAAGUUGUGUAAAUAUGGCAGCAAACGAAGUGGAAGUCCUUAUAUUAAGGUGUUUGCUUCCACAGCCAUUUAUUUAAUUGGCAAUGACAAGUUAUUUCUUGGAAAGAGGAAGAUAUGUGUUAUUUCUUUAGAGCUUCAGAGGGUGGUGCUUUAUAACUGCCCUAUCAGUUCGGCCCAUCACCAGAGAGAGGAAAAAAGCAAAGCCCAAGAAGACAUACAUGUAAAAGGACCAAGAAUGAGUACAGCUUGAAAUAAAUGCAGCUCUGAUAAAAGUGGCUCAAGUGCCAUAUGUCAAACACUGCUGGCCUUAGAGGCUACACAUGAUUAAGAACGAAUCAGUGAUAAAAUUGCAAGAAAGAUGAGACCACUUGGGUGCUUGCAAAGACCACCUGUCAUUCUGCUGGCUCACCAAUAUUGUUUGUUCGUGUAAUCUUGGCUUCCUAGUUAAUGGCCAUAAUACACCUUCUAUCUUGAGACCAAAGCCACGAAAAUAAUUAUUUUUUUGAAAUCAGACACAUCUAACAGGCCCAAUCAGAUAUGAGCACAAAAUAAGUUACUGGUUUACUCAGUUUAGUUCCUAAAUUUACAUUCCUGAUCCAAUUCACUGUCAGUAUAGGGUUUUAAAAUUUCACUGGUUUAAUGUAAUUAUAUAAUCAGGAAUAAAGUCCCUCUACAGUUACUCCCCCAAAUUUUUUGACUUCCAAAUGCUCUGAUAUCCUAGGCAUCCAAACAUUUUUCUGUUGUAAGACAAAUGUCUACCCCAGGGUGUCAAAAAUGUAUUAACUUUUACAGAUCACACUUAAAUUUUAAAAUAUAAAAAUGGAGUAGACCAGCUGAAACAAUGAUAUCUAAGCAUAAACUAUUUAAAGUGAAUGCAAAUAUUAACAAAUAUCUGCUACUAUGAAUACAAGAAUCACAUUAUAUGUGACAAUAUUUCAGAUUUAGUUACAACUGUGUUGGUUUUGAUUUGGCUCUGUAAUUAGCAUCUAUAUUCUAGAUUUUUUUGACUGCUGUAUUAUUUAUGGAAGGUUUGUCCAAAUAUAAUUUUGUACUUGUUGCUUUUAUCAAAAAUUGGUAUCUAGUGAAAUAAAAUGCAAAGAACUUGUACUUCUCACAUUUUUCUGAGUGUUUACUAAUAACUGUUUGCUGUCCACCCUUUUCUAUACACAGCCACAAUAGGAUUGUAACAGUGGGUAAAACAAUAUGUUACAUUGCUGCUAAUCAUAUGCUAAGUUGUUUGACCAUAUACGGAAAUAGAAUUUGCCAACUUGCAACUUGGAAGACAACAGUUGAUUCCUUUUUUCAUAUUUUAUAACACACAUACUCAUAAUUAGUAUUUUGACACAGUUUUAUGAUGUGAACCCAGACUUGGAGUGCCCCACAGCAGAACAAGUGCUAAAAAUCAGAGAUACAUUUUUUCUCUUUUGAUUACACAGUUAUGAUCGCACAAUAAGAAGGGGGAAAAAUGAAGAGGAGCUCCACCAUUGAUAUACUUACCUAAAAUUCUGCCAGUAGAGGCUAUUUUGAUUAACUUGAACAUAUAUGUAAAUUUAGUCCAUUCUGAUUUAGUAUUGUAUUCACUUUGGUUUAUAUGUGGAUGACGGGCCACCAUAAUCUUUAGGGAUUUUAGGGUCUCUAGAGGUCUUAGAGCUUGAAUGAACCAAAGAAUUUGCCAUCCCCAAGUGCUAUCUAUAUACCCUUCCUUGUCAUCUGUAAGUUAACAUUUAUUGAAUGCAACCUGGCUGUUGGAUGUGGGGAGAGAUGGAUUAGAAAGAUAGAGAAAACAGAAUCUUGGACACUGAGGUUAUUUAUAGGAUGGCUGGGGCGAAGAUCACAGGGAAAAUGAUGGAGAUAAAUUUUUAGCAAUACAUACGAACAAAUAUAGAUUGAUUUAGUGCGCAUGGAGUGCACAAGUAUUUCAGGGUUGCCACUUUGAAAACAGCCCCAGGAAGGAUAACAUAGAGACUUAUUUUUUAAGAAAAAAAAUAGUACUUCAUCUUUCAGUAUUCUAGGAAUCAGUCAUACAGAAUGCUAGGAGUGGGUCACGUUCUUGCAUUAAAAAAUACUUAGCUAGGCCCGGUGGUAUGUAAUCUCAGCAUUCUGGGAGGCUGAGGCAGGAGGUUCACAAGUUCCACCCCAGCCUGGGCAACUUAGUAAGACUGCUUCAAACUAAAAAAGGUAGGGUGGGAUCUGGGGACUUAGCUGGGUUCAAUCCCCAGUACCGCCAAAGGGGAGAGGGGAAGAAUACAAUCCAAUUUGAACUAACACCAAGGUUAUACUUAACAGCAAAGCCCAAGAUGUCAUAUAUUAACAUCACCAAAAGUACAAGAAUGAUUACUUUCAAAACUGCUGUUUAAGUUGUCUGGAAUUUUAGGCAAAUCUCCAUGAGAAGUAGGAAGUCUAGACUCAUUUUUGUUUUUGAGUAUCUGCAGCUUCUCAGCCCUGCCCCGCAAGAGGCCUCUGUUUCCACUGCCCAACUUCUGGCUCGGAUUUUGGAAGUUCAAAUAUUUUAUGCAUACUUGGCAUUUUUUUGAGUAAGACUUCAGUGUGUCUAAAACUCACUUUAUCUCAAUGGUAACAUUUCCUUCUGAAGUGAUGUAAUUUGAGGUUCCGAAUCAUGUGUUUAUAAUGUCCUUUUCAAUUUUCUCACUUAAAAAAAAAUAUCUUUAAGUAGGGAGAAAAUGCCUUGUUACCAGCAAUCACCCCUUUUAAAUGUGAGCAGGACAAGAGUGAGGGAACAUGGAUUAAAAAGAUGAGAGUAAUGAUUUAAGCAACCUCCUUUCUUUUUUGACUCCCGGGCAGUCUUGGCUAAAAAUACUAUGUAUAAAUGUUGAUUCUAGAUCGAUUGCUAUCCAGCAAGAUCACACACGGAACCCCAAGUGCUGUGUCACUGAGAACAGUCACCGGGGUGGGGGAGUAUCUCUCCUUGGUUGUGUUCCCUGAACACUGAUCUAGCUGUUCAGUGCCUACCCACAGACCUGGCUCUUGGUAAAAACAAAGUUGUUUAACUACUGUCAUUUCCUUUCCUUCCCUCUUUUCCUCUUAUUCCUCUUUUGACUUUCUCAGGUGGUAAUAAAAAUGCUUCUAGGGGCAUUUGCCUUUUUUUUUUUCCUUGUUCACAAAAGACUUUAUUAUCUAGUGAUGCAUACUGAGAACAUACAGAAAUCUGCAUGGCCCACUUCACAUUCAGUAGAGCAAUCUUCACUUUACAAUAAGUGAGUGUCAACUGUUUUAUGCAAUAGACAACACUUUAAGGUCACAUUCUUAAAGAAAAGCUUGCCUUUUUAACCUUUUUUUUUUUUUUUGAGA